GCCUUUUCCCUUCCAGUGGGAGCUUUGCAAAGGGAACAUUACUGCUGUGAUGAAUAACAGUCUCUCCAGAGAAACUGGUGUGACGCAGGCAUUUCAUCCUACUGAGAGGAACACCACGCCUGCCACCAACUGAUGCCCCUAGUAUUGCCUCUGAGGAAGAUGGACCUAUUUUAAUUCCUGUUCUGCACACUGUGAACUUGAAAGACGUGGUCAUAUUGAGAAGAAUUAAAGUGUGCGAACCUCUCAGUGUGCGUACAGAACAUCUUCUGGUGGUUGAGAAGUUGAGAACACAGCCCUCAGUCAAGAAGCUUCUUGGUUUAUAAUAAAGUAAGAACACAGCUAGUUCUGAGAACCCAACAGAUCUGCUGUCCAAGCCUUGGACCUCGUGUCUCCUGGACCACCUUAAGAAAUGUAACGUAGAGAUGAGUGUGCUAUGUGAACUUUCUAAUGGGCUCCUUUCCUUCUUUGUUUUAAC
rnacentral:lncRNA from 1 species